AUCAUCCAGUGACAAUGGCAAUCCCGACUCCAGAAAGUUUUGUCUAACAACAGCCCCAGUGGAAAGAUGGAGAGGAGGCUUGUUACUACUGGGUGGAGGCAGAGGGCCACAGUCUUCACAUCAUCUACACGAAUACAGCGAGUACUAAGGCAAGUCGCAGUCAGAUCUCAAAAUGAAUGUCAUGCUCACAAAAAGCGCCAGACAGGAAACUAAAGUCUUGUGCUUAUUCCAAGUCUCUAAAUCACUCAGAACCUAUACACCAACCAGUCCUACUCCUACCCAAGAGUACAAUAGAACAA